GAUGGAUCCGCGCUGCAUUAGCUAGUUGGUAAGGUAACGGCUUACCAAGGCAACGAUGCAUAGCCGACCUGAGAGGGUGAUCGGCCACACUGGAACUGAGACACGGUCCAGACUCCUACGGGAGGCAGCAGUAGGGAAUCUUCCGCAAUGGGCGAAAGCCUGACGGAGCAACGCCGCGUGAGUGAUGAAGGUCUUCGGAUCGUAAAACUCUGUUAUUAGGGAAGAACAUAUGUGUAAGUAACUGUGCACAUCUUGACGGUACCUAAUCAGAAAGCCACGGCUAACUACGUGCCAGCAGCCGCGGUAAUACGUAGGUGGCAAGCGUUAUCCGGAAUUAUUGGGCGUAAAGCGCGCGUAGGCGGUUUUUUAAGUCUGAUGUGAAAGUCCACGGCUCAACCGUGGAGGGUCAUUGGAAACUGGAAAACUUGAGUGCAGAAGAGGAAAGUGGAAUUCCAUGUGUAGCGGUGAAAUGCGCAGAGAUAUGGAGGAACACCAGUGGCGAAGGCGACUUUCUGGUCUGUAACUGACGCUGAUGUGCGAAAGCGUGGGGAUCAAACAGGAUUAGAUACCCUGGUAGUCCACGCCGUAAACGAUGAGUGCUAAGUGUUAGGGGGUUUCCGCCCCUUAGUGCUGCAGCUAACGCAUUAAGCACUCCGCCUGGGGAGUACGACCGCAAGGUUGAAACUCAAAGGAAUUGACGGGGACCCGCACAAGCGGUGGAGCAUGUGGUUUAAUUCGAAGCAACGCGAAGAACCUUACCAAAUCUUGACAUCCUUUGACAACUCUAGAGAUAGAGCUUUCCCCUUCGGGGGACAAAGUGACAGGUGGUGCAUGGUUGUCGUCAGCUCGUGUCGUGAGAUGUUGGGUUAAGUCCCGCAACGAGCGCAACCCUUAAGCUUAGUUGCCAUCAUUAAGUUGGGCACUCUAAGUUGACUGCCGGUGACAAACCGGAGGAAGGUGGGGAUGACGUCAAAUCAUCAUGCCCCUUAUGAUUUGGGCUACACACGUGCUACAAUGGACAAUACAAAGGGCAGCGAAACCGUGAGGUCAAGCAAAUCCCAUAAAGUUGUUCUCAGUUCGGAUUGUAGUCUGCAACUCGACUACAUGAAGCUGGAAUCGCUAGUAAUCGUAGAUCAGCAUGCUACGGUGAAUACGUUCCCGGGUCUUGUACACACCGCCCGUCACACCACGAGAGUUUGUAACACCCGAAGCCGGUGGAGUAACCUUUUAGGAGCUAGCCGUCGAAGGUGGGACAAAUGAUUGGGGUGAAGUCGUAACAAGGUAGCCGUAUCGGAAGGUGCGGCUGGAUCACCU
rnacentral:rRNA from 1 species